rnacentral:rRNA from 1 species
AAGUCGAAGGAAUUGGGGGGCUGGCUCCCGAAUGGUUAACCUCUGUCGACUGGCACGAAACCCUUGAGUUCAAAUAUUUCCCUUGGCUGACGGUACCUCAAAAGGAAGCACCGGCUAACUCCGUGCCAGCAGCCGCGGUAAUACGGAGGGUGCAAGCGUUAAUCGGAAUCACUGGGCGUAAAGCGCUCGUAGGCUGUUUGGUCAGUCAGAUGUGAAAGCCCUCGGCUUAACCGGGGAACUGCAUUUGAUACUGCCAGACUUGAGUGUCGGAGAGGGUGGCGGAAUUCCGGGUGUAGGAGUGAAAUCCGUAGAUAUCCGGAGGAACACCAGUGGCGAAGGCGGCCCACCUGGACUAAAACUGACCCUGAGAACCAAAACUUUGGGCACAAAACAGAAUAAAACCCCUGGCCCCCCCACCCGCAAAAAAGGAUACCUUGGGUUUCCGGGGUUUACCCUCCCUCCCCGAAAUAACCGCUUAAACCAUCCCGCCUGGGAUACCCUGCAAAGGCUGAAACUCAAA